UACAGAGGGGGCAAGCGUUGUUCGGAAUUACUGGGCGUAAAGGGCGCGUAGGCGGCCCGCUAAGUCGAACGUGAAAUCCCCGAGCUCAACUCGGGAACUGCGUCCGAUACUGGCGGGCUUGAAUCCGGGAGAGGGAUGCGGAAUUCCAGGUGUAGCGGUGGAAUGCGCAGAUAUCAGGAGGAACAUCCGUGGCGAAGGCGGCUCUCUGGGACGGUACUGACGCUGAGACGCGAAAGCGUGGGGAGCGAACAGG
rnacentral:rRNA from 1 species